CCUACGGGAGGCAGCAGUAGGGAAUCUUCGGCAAUGGACGAAAGUCUGACCGAGCAACGCCGCGUGAGUGAAGAAGGUUUUCGGAUCGUAAAACUCUGUUGUUAGAGAAGAACAAGGACGUUAGUAACUGAACGUCCCCUGACGGUAUCUAACCAGAAAGCCACGGCUAACUACGUGCCAGCAGCCGCGGUAAUACGUAGGUGGCAAGCGUUGUCCGGAUUUAUUGGGCGUAAAGCGAGCGCAGGCGGUUUCUUAAGUCUGAUGUGAAAGCCCCCGGCUCAACCGGGGAGGGUCAUUGGAAACUGGGAGACUUGAGUGCAGAAGAGGAGAGUGGAAUUCCAUGUGUAGCGGUGAAAUGCGUAGAUAUAUGGAGGAACACCAGUGGCGAAGGCGGCUCUCUGGUCUGUAACUGACGCUGAGGCUCGAAAGCGUGGGGAGCAAACAGGAUUAGAUACCCCUGUAGUC
rnacentral:rRNA from 1 species